UAAAUAUUUAGGUACCUAUAGGAGGUUUAAUAGGGAAAAUGGUGAAAAUCCAUUACAGCCCCCGCUACUGUAUACGGAGACAAAACCAAAUCCACUGGAGUAAUCUGGGAAGGAUGGUGGAGAAAGACCCGUGAGUCAGGAGACCUGCCUAAUAUUUU
rnacentral:ncRNA from 1 species